GACGAACGCUGGCGGCGUGCCUAAUACAUGCAAGUUGAGCGCUGAAGGUUGGUACUUGUACCGACUGGAUGAGCAGCGAACGGGUGAGUAACGCGUGGGAAUCUGCCUUUGAGCGGGGGACAACAUUUGGAAACGAAUGCUAAUACCGCAUAAAAACUUUAAACACAAGUUUUAAGUUUGAAAGAUGCAAUUGCAUCACUCAAAGAUGAUCCCGCGUUGUAUUAGCUAGUUGGUGAGGUAAAGGCUCACCAAGGCGAUGAUACGUAGCCGACCUGAGAGGGUGAUCGGCCACAUUGGGACUGAGACACGGCCCAAACUCCUACGGGAGGCAGCAGUAGGGAAUCUUCGGCAAUGGACGAAAGUCUGACCGAGCAACGCCGCGUGAGUGAAGAAGGUUUUCGGAUCGUAAAACUCUGUUGGUAGAGAAGAACGUUGGUGAGAGUGGAAAGCUCAUCAAGUGACGGUAACUACCCAGAAAGGGACGGCUAACUACGUG
rnacentral:rRNA from 1 species